rnacentral:tRNA from 1 species
GGUGUGGUGGAAUGGCAGACACAAGGGACUUAAAAUCCCUCGGUGAAACAUCCGUGCGAGUUCGAGCCUCGCUACCCGUACCA